CCUAUUUGUUAGUCACAGUGUCCAAUACCUUUCUCCUUUAUCCCUAAUGUCAGAAGAGGCAGCAGCAGCAGAAAAACAAGAAUUUGAAUGAUGUCGAGCCUUCCUGAAGACAUCAUCAUCAACAUCUUAACAAGGUUACCACUAAAAUCUCUCUUAAGAUUCAGGUGUGUUUGCAAAUCUUGGUCUAAUAAUCUCUUUACAAACCCUAAUUUUAUUAAGAUACAAUAUAAUCAUUCUCUUAAACAUCAUACUCCUGGUAUCUUAAUUGACUGCAAAGAUACUAAUAUCUGUUACGUAGAUUAUGAUUCGGCAUCAUCAACAGUAUCUAGUCAGGUUAUUCAGAUAGAUUAUCCGGUGGAAUAUGAAAAAUUUCAAAUUCUAGAUGUGUGUAAUGGGUUGAUAUGCUACAGAACAAUGAAUAAAGAUAUUAUCAUCUGGAACCCAUAUACCAAAGUCUACAAGAAACUACCAGAUCCACCAGAAUCAACAAGUUUAUAUCCCAAGUAUCCCAUGGCCAUGAUUCAGUAUGGAUUUGGAUACGAUGAGAAAAGUAAAGAUUAUAAAUUUGCAAGAAUUGUGGGUUUUUGAAGGUUGCCUCUACCUGAUUGGUAGCAUAUAUAUGGUUGGUGUUGAGGUAUGGGUGAUGAAAGAGUAUGGCAUUAAAGAAUCUUGGACUAAAAUGUUCACAAUUGACGGCAAAAAAUUUGGAGGAGCUGAGUACGUGAACUUGAAAAGCUCUCUAGGUAACUGUGUGAUCUCGGUUGAGGUAGACCGGAUAUUUCCUUGCUUAUAUGAUCCCAACAAGGAAGAAGCUACACAACUUGAAAUCGAAGGCAUUUCGCCACCAUUCUUCACAUGGGCUUUCUUGGGGAACUUAAUAUCACCUACUUUUGGUACUUGUUUGGAGGCACAAUAAGAUGCAAGAAGCUUAAGAAUAAAAACAACCAGAGGCUAAAUCUGACAAGCCACCGGCUUAUGAUGCCAAAUGACAUUUUUGGAGGAAGGCAGAUCUGUAGGAGCUUUAGCAGCAGUGAUGUGGGCAAAGUAUCUGAACCCAGGGGAUGUAUUUUGAGAUUUGAGACAGCAAUCUAAUUAAACGAAUUGGAAGGGAGAUCACUGAACCCCAGCUCAGUUUCAGGAAUCCUGUAAUAAUAGAAUUCUCCAAAAACAUACUCUAACUAAACUCCUUAUCUUAAUAAAAUUCCAUUUGUUUGCAGCAAAAAAAACAUACUCUACUACUAUUUUGGAUCUUUUUUGUAUUUCCUUAAUUCGUUGAUGGGCUACAAAGACUUUUAAGUACCAA